AUUGAACGCUGGCGGCAUGCCUUACACAUGCAAGUCGAACGGCAGCGGACCUUCGGGUGCCGGCGAGUGGCGAACGGGUGAGUAAUAUAUCGGAACGUACCUUUCAGUGGGGGAUAACGUAGCGAAAGUUACGCUAAUACCGCAUAUUCUGUGAGCAGGAAAGCAGGGGAUCGCAAGACCUUGCGCUGAUUGAGCGGCCGAUAUCAGAUUAGCUAGUUGGUGAGGUAAAGGCUCACCAAGGCGACGAUCUGUAGCGGGUCUGAGAGGAUGAUCCGCCACACUGGAACUGAGACACGGUCCAGACUCCUACGGGAGGCAGCAGUGGGGAAUUUUGGACAAUGGGCGGCAAGCCUGAUCCAGCCAUUCCGCGUGAGUGAAGAA
rnacentral:rRNA from 1 species